GGCCUACAGCUUUGCUUAGGUUGGUUGCACUGGGGCGUGUCCUGUGGCCUUUCAGUAGAAAAAAUGGUGGCCCGGAUGUAUCAGAACUAGGCUAGGGCCCAGCCCAGAGGGCAGUGUUGACCAGCUUUGACCACCUUACCCAACUCCUUGUGCGAUUGAGCCAAACCCCAGCAGCGAGCGCAACGGCAACGGCCUUGUUGGCGACUGGCCGCCGCCGCCCGCCGGCGGCCGGGCGGCCAGCGGGGGGUGGCUAAUGAGGGCUCCGCUGGGCGGCCAGCAUAUGCGGGGUGCGGGGGCCGCAGUCCGUAGAAGCGCGGGAAGGCUGCGACUGGGUAAGCCAGGCGCGUGGAGCGGUGGAGGCAAGCGGCGGCCGGUGGGGGAGGCGGCUGCGUGCGCUCGGUGUCUGCGUCGCAUCGAGCAUUCGAGCUGGUGGAAGGAGCCUAUCGAGGAGCUGAGCAAGCGAGCUGUGGUUCCCGAUUACUGAUUUCCUGGUGGCUGAAAAUCAGCGACGGAAGGUAUCUCAAAGAGAUUUGAAUAGCUAUUUUAACCGUGGGUGAUGUGCCACCAACCCCAACUACUUGUGGCAAUGGAAUUGUUGCGGUGGAAGAGGCUGCGCUGAACAGGUAGAAGGGGUCGUGGAAGUACAAUUGGGUUCAUUUCAUAUUGCUGGACGAGCGGAAGAGGUAAUCUAAGCAUGUUUGGAUGUCGAUUAAUUUUAGUUGUUGGUCUAUUUAGUGUCAUAUAAACGAUGUAAUCGCAUUUGUGUUUAGGCGAAGUUGUUUUCGGUUUUAGUGUUGAUCUUCUCUUCAGCAACUGGGCACACCUCAGAUUCUUACCAUCCUCCACCACCACGAACAGAUAUCAAUGUUUCAACGGGCUCGUCCCUCUAAUUAUUUAGAUUUGUUUAAACAAACUAUAUUAUAUACGAAUGAACGGUAAUAUAUAUAUAUUUGCCGGUUGCUGUCA